rnacentral:rRNA from 1 species
CUGAACCAGCCAAGUAGCGUGAAGGAUGACUGCCCUAUGGGUUGUAAACUUCUUUUAUACGGGAAUAAAGUGAGCCACGUGUGGCUUUUUGUACGUACCGUAUGAAUAAGGAUCGGCUAACUCCGUGCCAGCAGCCGCGGUAAUACGGAGGAUCCGAGCGUUAUCCGGAUUUAUUGGGUUUAAAGGGAGCGUAGGCGGGUUGUUAAGUCAGUUGUGAAAGUUUGCGG